CUAAAAUCAUUUAAACUAUAACCCUAAGAAAAAAAAUUAAAGAAAUGCUCUGUAGAUUUCGGCCACCGUCGCAGGACCAUUAAAUCUGGUGCUCCAUCAUGCGCGAGGAGAGUCUUUAACUCCACUCGGGCCAUACUCGGAGGCAAAGUCACUCUUUAACAUCAGAAAAACGAAAAAAGACCCCAUUUAGAUCCAAUCUCGGAGGAGUCGAGGCUCCAACAAUGAACCAUAGGUGAGCUCCCUUUUCCCUCUCGUUCUUUUUUACACGUAAAUAGAUAAAUCAAAGAAAUAUAAACGAAAUCGAAAGAAAAACGAGAUUCCAAAAUCGCCUCUUUAAUUUUGAUUGCUUUCUUUUCAAUAUGCGUGUAAUCGACCCCUUUUACACUUGAUUCUCUGGCUUUUUAUAGCCGAAUAAAGAGAAAUAAGAAAAAAUAAAAAAAAAUACAAUGGCCCUAGAUUUUAUGUUAUGCAUUUGUUGUCAAUUGCUAGAUAUCUGCUGUGUUGUUUGCUAGUCCAUUUUGCAGGAACAAAGGUCGUAGUGUUGCUAACGCAGUUAGGCUGUUCAUAGAAGCUGCAGUACAGGCUUCUAGAAGCUUCAACUUGCUUGGGCCCUGCGAACUUACCCCAUAGUCGAGCUGUUGGGGCUUGGAGGCUAUUGCGGCUCGAGGAAACUUUAGAAACCCUUAGGGUUUCUGAAAGAAUUUAGACAUCGGGCCCUUUUGGGUUAAUUUUAUUUGGGCCAAAGGUUUAGAUUUGGGCUAUUAUUUUUGGGCUUUUGUACUUAGGCUAAUCAGGCCUUGCUUAUUCAGGUCUAGCCCUGCAUUGAUCUGGACCUAUUUAGGUUUUAAAUUAGCUCAGGCUCUUUGGGGUUUAUUGGGAUACAAAUGUAAAUGGACUGGGACUAUUAAAACAUUUAGUUUUAUUUAUUUUAUUUUAUUUUUUUUUGGUUUUUCUAUGGGCCCGGGCGAAAUGGGCCUAUUACAAUCUUCUAUGAAUGUUAUGAAAUAUUGUUGACCAUUCCAGGAUGCCGUAGGGAAUGGCCCACAAAUAUCUGUAUGAAUUAAUUUUAAGACGUCUGAAGAUCUGUUGGCACCCAAUCUCUUGGUUUUGGUCUGUUUUCCCUUAAUGCAAUCGACACAGACAUCAAAGUCUGUAAAGUUAAGGGACUCUAAAAUACCAUCAGACACAAGGCGUUCAAUUCUAACUUUUGAGAAAUGACCUAAGCGCCU
rnacentral:lncRNA from 1 species